rnacentral:rRNA from 1 species
GAUGAACGCUGGCGGCGUGCCUAAUACAUGCAAGUCGAGCGAACGGACGAGAAGCUUGCUUUUCUGAUGUUAGCGGCGGACGGGUGAGUGACACGUGGAUAACCUACCUAUAAGACUGGGAUAACUUCGGGAAACCGGAGCUAAUACCGGAUAAUAUUUUGAACCGCAUGGUUCAAAAGUGAAAGACGGUCUUGCUGUCACUUAUAGAUGGAUCCGCGCUGCAUUAGCUAGUUGGUAAGGUAACGGCUUACCAAGGCAACGAUGCAUAGCCGACCUGAGAGGGUGAUCGGCCACACUGGAACUGAGACACGGUCCAGACUCCUACGGGAGGCAGCAGUAGGGAAUCUUCCGCAAUGGGCGAAAGCCUGACGGAGCAACGCCGCGUGAGUGAUGAAGGUCUUCGGAUCGUAAAACUCUGUUAUUAGGGAAGAACACAUGUGUAAGUAACUGUGCACAUCUUGACGGUACCUAAUCAGAAAGCCACGGCUAACUACGUG